rnacentral:rRNA from 1 species
CGUACACUCCUGCGGGAGGCAGCAGUGGGGAAUAUUGCACAAUGGGCGCAAGCCUGAUGCAGCCAUGCCGCGUGUAUGAAGAAGGCCUUCGGGUUGUAAAGUACUUUCAGCGGGGAGGAAGGCAAUACGGUUAAUAACCGUGUUGAUUGACGUUACCCGCAGAAGAAGCACCGGCUAACUCCGUGCCAGCAGCCGCGGUAAUACGGAGGGUGCAAGCGUUAAUCGGAAUUACUGGGCGUAAAGCGCACGCAGGCGGUCUGUCAAGUCGGAUGUGAAAUCCCCGGGCUCAACCUGGGAACUGCAUUCGAAACUGGCAGGCUUGAGUCUUGUAGAGGGGGGUAGAAUUCCAGGUGUAGCGGUGAAAUGCGUAGAGAUCUGGAGGAAUACCGGUGGCGAAGGCGGCCCCCUGGACAAAGACUGACGCUCAGGUGCGAAAGCGUGGGGAGCAAACAGGAUUAGAAACCCGGGUAGUCCCAUGA